rnacentral:lncRNA from 1 species
UAUGCUUCAGUACUCUGCAGUUAUUUCUAAAUGAUAGCAGAAGUCAAGGCGAUGUUCUGAUAGUAUACUCGAACAUUUGCAGGUUUGUCACGAAGCUCUCCCUUCACUUGUUCAAUGGUGAUACCAGCCAAGCAGCUUUCCGCAUCUUGUCUGACUUCCGGAAAGGCAGAUUUGGUUGGGUGGCCCUAGAGAGACCUCCAACAUGAACAAUGGAUGCGGAGUACGAACACAUUGAUCGGGUGGCCCUAGAGAGACCUCCAACAUGAACAAUGGAUGCGGAGUACGGACACAUUGAUCGCAAUGUCUUUUGUUGCGCCACUGUAGAUUAAUUUCUCUGGACCUUGACCUGUGUGACAGAUGAAGAGUGAAUUGACAGUAGGGUGGCUAAUAUCCCCAGAGGACAAGCGGACAAAACAUCAGAAAUAACCCUUUUGGCUGUCUAGAGGUCUGAGCUGAUAUGUAUAAGCAUGUGACAUAUUGGUUAACUUGUCUACAUAUUUGUAAGCUGUUGCAGAAUAAUUGUGUGGAAUAAAACUUUAUUUCAAUCUUGCACAAUUAGAUGCUCCCCUCAUGGUUUCUUGAUGGCCCAUUUCCAAAGGGUGCUGGCUAUGAGGUGAAAUUUGAUGAAGCUUACAUCUACGUUCCAAACACCACUGUACAAUCCAUCUGGAGCUGGAAAUAUUUUGGCGAUGAACAUUCACAGCAGAGAUAUCACAUCUCUUGCUACUUUCCCUCAAAACUUGUAUUUCUUGUACAAGCAAUUAAACAUUACAUAUAUAUUUUAACAACAAUUUCCAUUUUUGGUUCAAAACAUGAUACUCACUCCGGCUGGAAUUACUUGUCGAAAUAUUAUAUGUAUUUAGAUGUCUUUUAAACAUAGAUUUGAGACAAGUAAUAUGGGUCGGAGGAAGUAUAUGAUUACAAUGUUCUUCACCUCAAACGGGUGGCCUUGCUAAAGAUAAACACCGAUUUUUACAUCCUAGCCAGUGUUGUGGAUUUUGGAUUUGAGGGUUAAAGAUGACUGCACAAUUUCCAGGUUCAUGUUCCUUUCUAAUUGAUUCCUCAACGUAUUGUGAUAUCAUCAAGCCUGUCAAUUAAAUCCAGAGCUUUGGUCCUAUCAAUCUCGAAAUCUAUGACAGGAAGCAUGGACAACCUCCUGACUGGGAGCAAGUCGUUCAUGUUGCCACUAGUUGGAGAAUGGCUAUUGCUCUUGCACAAUCUGCUCUGUUUGUUGUGCCUUGACUUUGUGUCAAUUCUUGACUUUUGCUUAUUCCAGGGACGAAUUUUCUGUACUUGACACACCUUAGCAUAUCCUGAUCCUCUGGUGUGAGAACAGGUGAUGAAUUGUUUGGUUGGUCCAGCUGCAACCUGAUUGCAGGUACCUUUUGUGUUGGUGAACGGGCAGGAGAUUUGAUAGGAGACCUUACAUCUCCAUUAGCAGCUCUGGAUCUACUGAUAAGAUGAUGAAGCCACACAACAAGCUCAAGAAUAUGCGCUUCAGUCUUUUCCUUCUCAGCAUGAUACAGUGUCUCAAUUCGGGUCAAGUCCAUCUGUCCCGAUAGCUUGCAGUUCAGCUCAGAUCUGCAUAGAACAAAAAGGUUCCCACUCUUGAGAAAUUAUAGUUUCAUCGGUUAUUUCAAAAUAUUAUAAUCAUAUGCUAACCUUGUAUUUGCCCACUCUCCAACCCAACCAAAGCCGUGGUGUGCCCUGAUAACAGAUAAUCACAUUCUUCAGUGGCAUGUGGUAGCUUUUGCAAUUUUAAAAAUCAGGUCAUAGGAGAUAAUAGAGCACUUAGUCGUGUUAUUUGCAACAGGGACAAGCCAUCGCAAAGUUUUCUCCAUUUCAGCUUUGAUUUGAGAAACUGUAAACUGCAAGUGCAAACAUGUUCCAGUGUUAAACAUAUAUAUCACCACAGAAUGGAAUUGUAAUUCUAUUCCACAUUUCCACAGCAAGGUAUUGUGAUUCAUGACUCUUUACUGAGCAGCAAAUAUAAGCAUUCUAUACCUCUUCUUUGAUUCCAAAUGAUUGCAGCUUACAACGAAGAGCGGAUUUUAUGGUAGGCGGCAAACCUUGGUACAAAUUAUCCCUCGUGUUUGCAGAAAUAGAACUUGAAUGAGAAACCUGCCAACAGAUAAAAUCAUUUUUGGGGCAUAUCAAAAGAAAUUCAAAUGAAACGAUGUAUCACCACAUGAACAUGAGCUGUCACAUGUGGUUGCUGUGCUAAUAUUUCAUAGCACAAUUGAGUUUGGUCGUUAUGCUAAGCAAUCACCCUUUGAGAUGCACUCAUGCAAUCAACUCACAGUUUGGGCAGAAAAUCAACAACUGAACAUGUGGAAAAAUCCCAAAAAGAAAAAAAACGAUGGUGAUGCGGUGUGUAGAAUGCAUAGUACUCUUUCAAAUUUCAACUUUAAAUUCAUAAUGUAUCAAAAGAACAAAAGAAAAGAAAUAUUAUUAGGUUCCUAAACCAAAGAAGAUUGUGUGAGUUCACUGCAUGAACAGUAAAACCGAAAAAACAUUAGCAUGUUUUAAAAAUUCUGAAGAAAAUUACGCAUAUAUAUGCUUGAGUCUUCAAUAUACCUGUGAAUUUUCAUGUCAAGGAGAAAUUUUGUGUCGUAUACAGAAAUAACAAAUUACAGUGCUCUGAAAAGUACUUCUUAGGACCAAAUUUGCCUUUUUUGCCUAAGACAUUUUGUGAAAUAUUUUGGCGAGAAACAGAUUGUUUUCUCCAGCUGGGAGCAUGUGUUCCAGGGAGCUAAUGAGCCAAAUUGAAUUUCUGAUGAAAAUAAGCUUAUUUUCUAAGAAACUUGGACUUGGACCAUGCAGAGAAAGGAAAUAUACAUCUUUGUACUGGCAACAUGUCAAGAUUUGUGACUGCUAAUGUGAUAACUUAAUAAAUACAUAUGAUUUCCAGUAUGGUGUUAACUUACAAGCGCAUCAAUCUGGUUGAUGAUAUUCGCAUAAUGCAGUGCAAGGCCUGCUGGUCCCAAUCUCGAAUGACGUUUGGAGGGUUCUUGUGGCUCUUCACUCUCUACAGUUAAUAGGAGCAGGAACCUCUAAAUCAUUGUCACAAUAAAUGAUGGUUCGUCAUAACAUCACAUUCUUUUGACAAGAAUCGGACUACAAUAACACUACCUAUUGAGGUAUGCAAUUUAGACUAACAGAUAAAACAAUUAAAGUUUUGUGUUCAUGCAUGCACGAAAGCCAUGGUUUUGCAAAUACCAUUGCACACUCCAUAGCAAUUGCUAGGAAUAGAAUUAUAGAACUGGCCACUGGGUGUACUAGGCAGAUCAUAUUUUUUAAUGCCGCAAUUUCAUGAACAGAUAAGAUUUAUGUACCUUGUCCCCCCUGCUAAGUGUGAUUAAGUUCAGAGCAUGACUUGUUAACAGAACUGAAUAAUAAACAAUUAACUUUGCUUGGCUAAGGAUGAAAAGCUAGCUAAAUUCGAUUAGAGCUCUAUUUAUGGAAUUCAUGUUCCAUGCAGUGCUGGUGACUGUCAAUAAUGAAGAAAAAUGAGCAAUGACUAUCUGUUUAAUUCUUAUGAUAGAUGCAUGGAAAUUAAGGGUCAUCUAUCCAGGUAAAAGAUUCAACCCCUUUAUGAUUUAUUUUUUACUGGACUUAAUAUGAGAAAACCGGCAGACUUGAAACAUAUUCGGGUCAAAUCAAUUAUGGCAAGGAAAAUAUAUGACUCUUUCAAAUAACCAUAAUCAAACUGCACUAGCAACAACAUGCACUCUUGUUAGACAGCAGCUAUAAGGAUCGAUACCAGCACGACCAAAAGCAUUAUAGAUCUCCAGAUCUAAGAAUUGGACGAUGUCUACAAGCUUUUCAAUCACCUGCAAAGUGAACAUAGUUUUUGAAAGCAUGAGAGUCAUAGAAAAGUAUCUUUGUAGCAUGGGGUUUUAAAGACGAGCCGGCAUUUCUGAAUGCAACAGAUUUAUAAAGAAACCACCUACUACCGACCUCUUCCAAAUUCUUGGACCAAAGUGACCUUUUUUUCAAACUUUUAACAUGCUUACUUUGGCUCUUCACUUCCUGCUUUAGUAUAUGCAGGCUGUCACCUGCAAAAAAAAUCGGAUGUUUUCCUUUAGUUCGUUAAAAACUACGAUUGAUGAUAAAUAUCUAUCCUUGUAGACUGGUAACUUUUUUAGCAAAAUAGGUUGUACCCACAAAUCCUUGAGAUGCACCAUAAAUGUUGUUCUUUACUUCUAUGCACACAAAAAAAGGGAUACUAAUCACAGAAUGCUUUGAAUCUCAGAAACGAAAUAUGAUACUCCCUCCGAUCCAUAUUAAUUGUCUCAAAUUUGCCCAAAUAUGGAUGUAUCUAUGCCUAAAAAGUGUCUAGAUACAAGUAAUAUUUCGACAAUUAAUAUGGAUCAGAGGGAGUACAUAAUUAUUCAUUCAUAAAAGUGGCAAUACUUCAAUUAUGUUUCUUGAAUAGCUAGAAAACAGGAGUAACCUAUCCAAUGUAUGCAAUUCAUGAUAUAAUUAAGCUUAUAGUGCAGCCAGGCUAGAUAAAUCAAACAAUUUAAUAGAUCAGAAACAAAAUUAACCUGUUGAACUCAAGCCAUCAUGUUCUUGAUGUUUACGAUGAUAGUCUUGUUCAAACCUAUCCAAUGCAUGCAAUUCAUGAUAUAAUUCCUGAGGAGUAAAACAUAAAGAGGUGAACAAAAGUUAAUAAUUAAUAUGCAGAAAAAUUAAUGUAGUUAACUAACCAGAACAGCACGAAAAGUACAAAAGAUGCACAUCUAGCAAAAGCCUUAAAAGUAUAGCUCGUUUUGGGCAUUUACAUGGUCUCCAAGGUACCAGUUUGAUUGCCAUCUUCAAUCACUAUUAAUUUCAAGAUGAAUCUGUUGGUACGAAAACCAUAUCGACAAUUUAGAAUUCUAGAGACCUAUUCAUUUAUUCAUGGACAAAACUAAAAUGUUGGACUGCACAGUGCGUAUAAUCUUGGAUGGUUUACAUUUGGAUCUGGAAGGAUUACAUUGCAUGGUUUUUUGCACUGGCCGUAAAAACAACACUCACCACAGAAAUUUCUGCUAUCAAAAUAAUUCAGCUAUAGGCCAGAGAUUUCUACAUCCGUAUAUUGAUUAUCUAGCUAAGAUUCAGUGCUAAAUUAUUUUUGCACAGUUAAGAGAUAUGCAAAAUUCAGGCAACCAAAGGUCCAAAACGGCACUGUGUAAAAUGCAGUGACUUACUACUACCAUGCUAAAGUAGUGUGGUGGUCCUUACAGCUGUAUACUGAACACAAAUUAUCAAUUGCUGCAUCACUGUCUCAGCAUCUUGUUUCAGGUAAUGCUGGGAAGUUCUUUCUGAUGCCAACCUAAGAAUUCAACAGCAGAACACAGCUUAGUACCCUGAAAAAAAAACUUUAUUAAAUGCAGAGACAGAAAAAAACUGUACUUUCCAAAGUAGCGGUCCAAGUUGUGCCACUGAGGAUCCUUGCAACGGUUUCCAAAGCGAAUAACCUCUUUUGAGAAUACUUCUAACUCUUCCCUGUUGGAAUCAAACAAUUAAUCACUUGACAAGAAUACAAGAAGGUGUGCUACAGUUCUCUGAAUACAGUUCUAGUGGGGUAAUAUGUGCCAUGGGCAUGAGUAAUUUAGGCUACAUCCUAUGAACCUAUGAAACAAUGUAGAUUCAACACUAACCUUUUGUCAGCAGCUGCGAUCUCAAGUAGUUCAUCCAUAUCUUUCGAUACAAGGUGUUGGACACCUUCUGAGUGAAGCACCACUUCUUUUAUAUGCUUUAUGCUAGCCUUCGACAGAGAACGCAUCAGAUUGGAACCCUUAACUAUAGUAUUUGCCACUUCAAAUGCCAAAAUAGAUAUUUUGUUUCCCUUUGCUGCAGCACUUGAUACAAAACCACUGCUAGUAUUUAAACUUGCCAUGCUGCUACCAAGUGUGUCUAGAACCUCCACCGCCUUCCCAAGCCCGACAGUGCUUGCUCUACCUAACAUCAAGCUCAUUUCUGAAACCUGUUUCAAUAAUCAAUACAGCAAGCAACCAUUAAGCAGCCAAAUCCCUCAUGGAAUUAACACUCUGGACUCUGGAAAAGAGCAAAGAGAAGAGUAUAUUAUUUAAAUAAAAGAGAUCCUUAUAACAGGAAAAGAUCAACAAAUUGGCAUUUAUUUCUAGUUAUUACAAAAUAAUUAUCAUAACAUGAUAGCCUAAGUACUGUAAUAUUGAAUUUUUUUUAUGAGGGUGCUAAUAAAAAAUAAACAGAUAUGUUCUUGGUAAGACAGCUAGCCUGAAUAUUUUUUUCCCCUGAAUAAGUAUUUGCGAAUUCAACAAGAGAGACAUAUAGACCUACAAAGUGGUUAUCCCCUGACAUAUAGUGAUUGUUCAUAUAACAUAACAGGAACAUCUUACGUCAUUACAAUUGUACAAUCUAAUAAACCAAUUACUUAAUAAACACUUUGAAAAGCUAACAGUUAAGGGAAUGAGGCCAAAGAACUUAAUAAACACUUUGAACUUAAUAAUCUACGAGGAAUUAAAGCAAAGGGCAAUUAGUACCAACCUUUGUCUUGCCCAAACCAGCCUUUUGCGACAGUGUCCGAGCAAGGUGUGGUGUCCUGGAGCCUGUCUGUCCGGCAUCUGCACCGUUAUAACCAGCAAGGCCAGGUACAACGCUCUCCAAGAACGAGAAAGACUGUUGCCGCUCUUUGAUAAGCUUCGCUGUGGCCUCUUCAGGAAUCGGUAACUUAUCCUCCUUCAACUCCUUCAAUGUCACCGUUUCAUGAUCGAUUAUCUGGUUCCGGCCAAGCAUGGUAUCACUUGGCGACUUGUCUACUGCCGAGACCUUUGAGCAGAGGCCUCCCAUCCCCUUUCUAAACAAAAUUCCUGAUUCCCACCUCUAUGCGUAAUUGCUAAUUCAGCUGCUCACCUCCCUUGCACUGGUACCAUAUUUUCUCAUCUUCCACAAAGCUAAAGCAAUCUAGACACUUCAAUUCCACGAUGUUCCAAAAUUCCCCGAUCACCUCCUCCAAAAACAACCACAAGGCCACCCAAUCCACCAAACUAGACCAAACCAACCACGCAGAAAAGAAUCAGCUCAGCACGAGGGUUUUGCCGCAGCGUAAUCCCAGCAACUCCAAUCCAUGUAAAGCGCCUGCCAGAAACCAAACAAACGGGCCAACUCACGACGAUGCCCAUUUGUCCGUAAAUAAAAUAAAAAAAUGAACAUGGGUAGUGGUCUCAGAGCGGGAAAAACGGUCAUCACGAACCUGAUGAGGAUCAGUCGGGUCCCCAGGCACCGGCGGGGCGCAGAGAUUGUAACUUCUCGCGGGGAUUUGACGGAUUUGGGGAAGAGGAGGGACGAGGGAAGGCAGAGAGUCUUCAGUUGUUGCGGGGAAGCGAGUAAGGGAGUCCACUCUACCAAAGCAGAAACAGCGCAAUAGGGACCCCCGCCUGUAAACUGCCACCGCCACACGAACACAUGCACACACAACCCAACUGUUUUUGCAUUAAAAAAAAACAACUGUUUUGUUUUUUUAAGGAGGUUGAAAGUGAAACCCCCUGCAUCAUCCGCCAUAACCCUACUGUUCUUUGAACACGAUAUCUAAAAUGUAGUAUCUGGGUGUGUCUUGUGCUCUUCUAUUCCAUAAUAUAACGCACAUAAUAAUGACCGAUAGUGGGUGUUGUAAAUAAUGUAUUUUUUAAUAUUGAUGUGACAAAUACACUGUGAUUGUAUUUUUUCAAAAUUUUCACUAAUUUCUACUAACCAUAAGGCCCCACCCAAUCACCCGGGUGGGUCUGCCCAUGCACAAAAAUAUAGGCAUGGGUGAUAUAUAAAUAUGUAUGUACUGGGGUGGAGAUUUUCCACCCUUCCCUUCCCCAUGAUUAAGAAAACAAAAUAGUACGGCAGUAGUGACAUGUGUAAGGAAAAUAGCUGAGGCCAAAGGAAAAAACCUCAACAAAAUAGUGGCGCAAGGAUAAGGAACUAAAAGCACCAUUAAGGCUGAACACCGAUGGCCGGCCAUAAGACUUUGGACCAACUUAUAUUUCAGCAUUAAAUGAACUCAUUUUUUUUUGUCUCAAGUAAUGUAAAUGAUUUGGUAUUAUAGGUCAUGUUUUUCUCUAAACUUAGACACUUAGUCACCUGAGCCUUCGUAAUACCUCGUUCUUUUCAGUUCUCAGGAGGGUCUUCUUUAAGAAGCUGCUCGUCCCCAGCUUCUUUGAGAAGCCGUAUGUGAAAUUUUGCUAGUCUUCUAAAUUAGAAAGGGCUAAACUAACCUAGAAACUUAGCAAAAGAAUUAGGACGGUUUCUCUAGAAAAUUAGGAGAAGCAGUUUCUCAUGAAAGCCAAAACGGAGGGGGGCCUUUGGUCCCCUUGUGGCUUAGGAAAAAUUUCCCAACAGCUGACAGGAGAAACCCAAUCCAAAUCACCCGUAAAAAAGGGUUUGCACGAAAAAGUGGUCUCGACCAGUUUCCGGGGCUUCUCCGCACACUUGUUUCAACUUACCCCCGGCACACCAUAUUUACGGCCAAUGCCACCGCCAAGUUUCCACUCGCGAAUCGUUUUUCCCCAGACCCGAGCGACCCCUCGCGAGCAGAAACACACCGCGCCCCCUUGCCGCCGCCACUCCUCCCCCACGCCGCCUCGUCCCAACCUCCGGCCGCCCCUCCUCCUCCCCAACGUCGGCCAUUCGUCCCCACAUUCGGCCGCCCCGAUUCCUCCCCAACCCCGGCCGCCCUCCUCCUCCGAAAUGCCGGCCGCCCCGCCUCCUCCCCAACCCCGGCCGCCCCGAUUCCUCCCCACCUCCGGUCUCCUCUCCGGCCUCCCAUCAUCUCCCCUGGUCCCGCCGCCUUCCCAUUUCCCCCGCAACUCCUGCGCUCCCCCCCCCCCCCCCCCUCAUCUCCCCGAAUCCGCAACCCUCCCUCUUCCCUCCGGUCGCCGCUGCAUCUCCGUCUGCCCCGCUCUCCACCUUGACCCGACGGGUAUGCCCGGGAUCCACCGCGAUGGCCUCCGGCACCGAGCAACAGGUACGAGAUGCGACAGCUUCUUCUUCAGGCAGCAACAGGUACGAGCGCAGUCCCGCAGUCCCGUAGUCCCGCCUUCUUCUUCAGACAACUUCUUUCGCCGGGAUCCCGAAGUCCCGAGAUCCACUUCGCAGCCCAUCCCCAACCGCCUCGCCCAGCAGUCCAGCGGACGAGGUGUUCGUCAGUCCAGCGGCCAAGAUGUUCAUCCCCAACUUAUUCAUUUGAUGUUUCUUGUGUUGUAUGUGUAGGUUGGUUUCUGCGUUUAUGCGUUAGCAAGAUCCAUAUUAUGGAGAUAAUUUUUUUCAUGAGUUAGAAAUGCAUAAAUCAUGGAAAUGAAUAAGUUGUUUCCAUGAGUACAGAAAUGAGUAGACAGUUCCUUAUUCAGAGAUGCUUUUGUUUGGAGAUGAAGAUUCCAGUUCUUUGUGUAUUUGGAGAUGAAGAUUGUAGUUCUUUGUGUAUUUGGAGAUGUCUUGUAUGUGUGCACAGAAAUGAUUCUUACGUUCAUACAGUGAUGUUAACAACGAAAUAACACAGUUGGUGUCAAGGGGCAUUACGGACUAUUCUUACUCAAACCAGACAAUUAAGCUGCAUUUCUAGAAGCUGAAAAGAAGGAGACAAAAAUAACUUCUCCGGCUUCCUGCGGCAGCAGUUUUCCUCAGAAAUUCAGCUGAAACUGGUUUCUGGAGAAGCUCCAGCCGAAAAGAAGAAGGCCUUUAUUAGCUAGUUUGCACAUCUGUUACUGGAUAUAAGAUGUUUGGUUUGUCCUAAAUUUAACUUCUUAAUUUUUACCAGAUUUGAAAAAAAACACUACCAAAUCUACAACUCUAAAUUAGUUUAUUCAAUCAUUUAUGAUACAUAUCUUCAUAAUUUAUAUAUUUAUAAUAAUAAUAUUGUAAAUAUUAGUACAUUUUUCUAUAUACUUGGUCAAACUGUUGAAGCCAAACCGAGCAGAAUAGAUACCACCCCUACCGCCUGCCCAACAUCCUAGCACAUAUUUGCCGUGCUAAAUAUUUUCUUGUUCAAUGUGAAUGUUUCAGUUACCAAUGAGUUUUCAGUUUGACAAGGAAAAUAAACCAAAAUUUACCAAGAAGCAUUGAUUUGCCAAAAAAUUGUGGCUUUGCCGAAAUAUUAGUUCAUUUGACCAAGUUUUCGUCAAGACGACUAAAGCCUUGGUAGGAUGGGCUUUGGUCACCAUCCAAACAUACUCGUCCGAUCUCAAUCUUUUAGGAAGGGUCCAAAGUAUCUUGCCCUAAUGUCAGUCGUGAGUAACACGGUCCGCAACAGUUGGGAAACAUAUGCAUGACUAACAGGCGACCAUCCAGAUAAUAAACAGAAAGCACACAAGUACACACAGCAUCUCUAGCUAACAACGUCGUAGUUCUGAAUCUUUUCUUCUUUUUUCAACAUGAUAGCAGCCAGCAACCCAACAUCCUCCUCACGAUACUUGUGAACAGGAGCUGAUGCUACCACAAACGUGAAACUACCAGCUUGAUCACCAAUUUACAAAAGAUGGAGAUACGGAGACAGACUAUUCUACAUCAUACGCUAGCAUCUGGCAAGCUAGGUCUAGAGAGAAGCAUCAGCGAUUUUUACAAGGUCAGUGAGUUGAGUGUCUUGUGUCUGGUUCACUACUGCAAAUACGGCUUGCCACACUUUCUUAGCCUCAUCGCCCAUGUGCCAGACUCGUCCUCUUUUUUCCUUGGCCAUAAGUAGGCCUGUAGGGGGAAGUUAGCAUGCUUAUGACUUUCUUCUUUAACCAAACAGGCCCAAGUACUUUUGAAGCGUCUUAGCUCUUAAGUUGAGAGAUAUGAAGACAUGGCUCUUCUGAAAUCCAGAUUCAUUGCUGAGCCUGCAAAAGGUGGCACACCUUCAGGGACCCACAAACCACUUCUGUUAGGAAACAUGAUCUCUGGAUUCAUACGGUCCUUCUCAGUGCUUGUUUGCUCAGAUGGAUCUUCCUUUUUGCUAUUCACGAAUUCAAAGAACUCUGCAACUUGCUGAGCAUACCUGUACAGGCAAAAGAUCCAAACCUUAAAUGGAAAUGCAUAAUUUUACAAGUACAUAGGAGUAGGCCCUUUCACAACUAUGUUCUGAUGCUUAUAUCCGGUAACUAGUCAAUAGAAUAGCAUAGCGACGUCCUAAUUGAACACAUAAGGCCUAGCAAAGCUGAUUAAUCAGAUAAAAUUAGGACUACAAACAAUGCAGUUAGUUCAAUCAAGGUUUGCAAACUCACUGUCGUUUCGCUUGUAUAUCUUUGUUGAAAUCAAUGUCAGGUUCACAAUCCAAGACCAGAGCAGGCACCUACAUAUCAAAAAGCCUCAAAAUAUAAACUGAGGUGUGCACUAGAGAAGCAAACAAAUAUAGGAGGAUGUACCUACCUUCUGGAUACUAGAGUGCAUAUGAUCUCCUUCCAAGUAAAAAACACGAUCCCGUAUUCCAGGAGGCAAAGAGCCCUCCAUAUGUGUGGGCAGCUGACUAACUGACAAUACACCACGGCCUCCUCCUUUCGAGGGAAAUAGCCAGCUCUCAUGUUUCUCAUGCAAACCUUGCAAGUAGUCAAGACUAACACCACCUUCCUCUGAUCUUUUCCGGAGCAUCAUCCUUUUAUGGCAAGUAUCUGGGCUGGCUCUUAAAUAAAUAAAUCCAUCUGGAAUAAGACCUGGGAGCGAUGACACCACUGGAUCGAACCAGGAAUCAUAAAUGCUGAUCUCCAUCUCAUUCAUCCAGUUAGCUUCAUGAACAGCACGGACAAAUACCUGUUGAAUAUUGGAACUUAAGUAAGUUUAAUCAGAAAGAAAAAAUAAACUGUUCAUACAUCAAUUACAUUAGCAAGUAAGAUAAACCUACCAUCCUGUCACUGAAAACACUUCUUUCCAUUAGUCUGAGAGGUUUUAUGCCACCUGAAGAUUCCCUUUCUUGCAUAACCCUUGUCACAAACACAUAGUUCUGGAACGUGUAAGCAUAUCUUUGGGGCUCAGCAUAGAAGGCAUCCAGUAUAUUGAAGUGAUCAGGGCCAACAUCCUGCCACUUUGCAACAGGUUCAGGUACUAUUUCUACAAGAUCACGCAGUUCAAUAGUCUCAUUAGCUAUUCUUUGGAGGAAGGUGCUCUUCCCAACACUAAUAUUUCCUUCCACACAAAAGGUUAGCCUCUUCUUGCGAGGAGGCUUACAUGAAUUGGUAUCCUCUAGCUCCUGAACAACACUCUCUUUAAUGAAUGAAGUUAUACUCUCAGCAUGGUUCUUAUGUAUGAUGCCAACCGAGCUCUGUAAGAACUCAACCAUCUUCUCACUAGACUUUCCAAAGAACUGCACAUGCAUGUAAAUUUGUAAAUUGUCAGUACAAGUCAAGAGAGGAGCAUUCAAAGAAGUCCAUAACAUCUACAUGAUAAUGUAAGCAAAACAAACAAAAUAAGAGAGUGGCAGCCUGGCAGGAAGCUAUAGUAUCCUAAGGGCAUCUCCGAUAGUGCCAUGUCACCGUCAGAAGGCCAUUGCCACAUCAUCAAAAUCCUAUGUGGAGAGUUAAUAAGGUCAUCUAGAACAAUUUGUAUGUUAGCUUGUGAGAAAUAUUGUCCAUGUCAUCAAGCCACAAUGCAUCAUAAAACAUUUCUAAUGGAGUGUAUCUAAGUUGCCCGAUAGGAGGUGAGGGAAUAUGAAAAGUUGCUCUCUCUUUCCACCUUGGAGCUUGUGCAUGUGUUGUUCAUUAGUCUACAUACAACCUUGCUCUUUUUCUUCAUCAAUUAUCUGCUACAUCAUCAAAGGAUCAACAUGGCAAAUUUACCAACGACCAUAUUACAACUAUUAGAGAGAUCCUAAUUAAGAGAGAGAUGGCCCUUUGUGGGUUAAACUUCAUACAAGGGGUGCACACAAGCCAAGACGGUACUUCCUCCAUUUCAGUUUACAGGUCCGGACUCAAAAACUCAGAAUUCCCAAGUACAAGGUCCAUCUCUCUGUUUUCUCCACCCGAUGUUCCCAAUUUAAUGCAAUGGGAGCACGGGUCAACUGUUUUGGGAAUUACAACCAACAUGUCAUAAGGGAACUGAUCAGCAUAUCUAUGUCUCCAUCGCACAUCGCAGCCGUUCCAUGCAAAAAUAGAUGCCCGAUGGUUGGGCAGGCAUGGCAGUGCGUGCACGCAGGUGUGGGCCUCGCCCGAGAAAAUCUUGGGAGCAAUUAAGGAAUUGGAGAUGAAAGGAUAAGCACAAUUAAAGGACGCGAUUAGUGAUUUUUGCGGAGUCCCAACGUGUGCGUUAGUUGGCCAAAAUCGAACUCGCAUAUCACCUGAAACAGCCAACGCUCAGCCUUCGUUACUGAGUUUUUUGAGUCCCCUGUAAACUGAAAGGGAAGGAGUACUAGAGAGAACUUAGUUUUUUGAGUAUGUAAUAUUGUUACAUACUCCUACAAGCUAUUGGAGUAGAUGUAUGUAGUAGUGUUGGUUAAUGAUGUGGAUGUGCUAACAUACAAACUAUGGGAGAUGCCUCUAAAUAGUGUUAACUUCUCACACCACUUAAGUAUUGAAGUCUAUCCCAGAAUGAAAUAAUGAAUUGCUUAUCAAAGACACAAGAAUAUGUGACAUAACCAAUCUAAAGUUCUGAUUUUCUGGACGCCAAGUCUAAAAUAGAAACAAACAACAUCAGACUUCCCCCGACUAUUACAAUACUAAUAUAAUGAGAUCACCUGGCAUUAGCAUAUAGGAAGAUGGUGCAAUUCAACAGAACAUCAGCUUGUGUACUUUCAGUUUCAGAACCAUCUACAUGAGACACAUAAUUUUGGCCGAGGAUAUUUGUUUGAAUCGGCUGAUUUCCAUAUAUACUUUUAGACGAUGUAACCGUGUAAAAAAAUGUUGUUAACAACUUAAUGGUCACUUCUGAUUUUGAAGAACAGACCCAUAUGUUAUGCCACAGGAAUACGCUUGCAUGCGGAAUGAUCCACAUAAGUGUUUAUUUCUUUAUAUAUCUUCAAUAGUCUGUUCUUAUUUGAAAUUUGAAUUGGAUUGUAUUCCAUUUAAAGAUAGUACAACCACAAGUCUAUAAUGAUCCUGUAAAAGGCGAUAUAAUGGGCUCAGUUAAGAUUUCAAAAGCCCUGCUGCUCAAACGGCAGAUAGGAGUGUUCCGAUACCGUACCCUCCUCUGUGUUCCAUCAAAUGCUGUACUACUUAAAAACUGACAAGUGAGCCCCUCUGUAACAGUAAAUGAGUUGCUUGAAAAUAACAUCUAUUGGUACAAAAUGAAUAUAACUGCACAGCAUUAUACUUGGAUUCUUAUGCAUGUCAAACAUAGACUAUACUAGCCUAUAAAGAUGUAACAAGCCUUGCAUGAUAAGCUAUUAACCAGAAAUGAAAGACCAAGGUGAGGACAUGUAUUUGUUAUAACCCUUCUUUUUUUCUUUCAAGGUUCAAGAAAAAACAUAUGCUUGCGUUGAGCCGUCACAGAUAUACACGUUUCGGGCAGCAUUUCCAUCAAUCCAAGCAGGGAAGCACACACCUUAUCCCUGUAGAGCUGCUUGAGAUGUGCGACGCCCUCGAACCCAUUGUCGACGAGCUUCCUCAGGUUGCGCGGCCCGACUCCAGGAAUGGCGAGGAGCUCCCCGCUCCCCGGCACGGCAUUCCCGCCCCUGAGCCUCCUCUCCGCCGCCGCGCGAGCUCCGGCUCCCAUUCGCUUCUCCUCCUCCGCCUCGCCGUCCUCACGCCUCGCGGGCUGGACGGAGCAGAACAUGCCCCUCCUCGCUCCCCCACCGCCGCAGCGAAGCCACGGCGGCGGGCGCGGGCCCCGGCGGGCGGCGAGGAGCGCGGCGGGGGAGCCGAGGCGGAGGGAGGGCAUGGAGGACGGGAGCAAGAGUGGCGCCGUGGCGAUGGAGGCGGCGUCAAUGAAGGUGGAUGCUGCGGCGGCGGCGGGGAGGAGGGAAAGCCUGUGCAUCUACGGCGGCGGCGGAGGUCAUCAAUGGGUGGGGGUGGGGGGGGGGGGGGGUCCUAGGGUUUGGGGAGGGUUUUGGUUCGGAGUUAUCCCCGUCUGUGAGCUGUGUCGUCGGGAAGCGGGAGGGGAGGAGGCCGAGGCAGCGGUCUUUGUGGACUGUGGGUCUACGGCUCUACGCGGAGUGGUGCACGAUAGCACGAGACUGCGGAGUGGGUCCCCUCUGUGGACCACGGUCCACGGCAUGGGCGACCGGAUUGUUUACGCGCGGAAAAGCGGACUUGUCACCACCCCGUUUCAGGGGCGUGUCGCUGAGACGCUGGCUCGCUCGCUGGAGGCUGGACUCUCUGAAUGCUGGUGCGCACCCAUGCAGGCUUUUCAGCCGGAAAAUGGUCACGUUUUUUUUUUCCACUGGUACACCGGUACUACAGGUGGCCGCUUGCUUUGCCGUGCAAGGCAGCAACGACAUGUCCUGCCUCCACGUCCAGCUGCUAAUCUAAUACUCUCUCCGAUCCUAAAUUGUUGUCGAAAUAUUACAUGCAUCACGUUUUUUAAGAAUAGAUACAUACAUAUUUGAGCAAAUUUGAGUCAAAGAUUUAGGAUCGGAAAGAGCACGUAUUUGCACGUUUAGGAGCUGUUUGGUUGAAGGCCUCAGUGGUGUGCCUGAGCAAAACUGGUGUCUGAGUCUAGCCUGAAAAAUUGUAUAUUUGUGCCUGUAUCAGUCGGUGAGGGAAGUUGAAUUAUUUAUUGCUUAGAUAGAUGUGCACUCAUGCCUGAGCUCAAACCUUUUUUUUUUGGGUCAUGAGCCAGAGAAGCUUUCAGGCAUCAAACAAACAUAUCAUAGGCUACCUUGUGGCUAUGAUCAGGCCAGGCUAGUUGGUCUCAGGACACCAACCAAACAACCCCUUAUUUUUUUAGAGCGUACCCCGUAUUUACAUCCUAUUUUAUACGAUGAUCUGGUUUUAUUGAUCUAGAAACUUUGCUUCAAGAAAAGUAAAAUGGUCAGAAACAACGAUAAUACCGGAAGAUAUGACUCAGUUCUUCGAAAUUGACAUCUCCUGACAAAAUCAACAACAUAACAAAAAAAAACUAAUGACUGCAAAUGUAAUCUUCUGUUUCUCUCGUGUUCCAAAUUUUUGUGCGGCAGAUACCUACACUAAUUAUUACUCCCUGGGUCCCAUCUUAAGUGGCGAAAUGUUACAUGUAUCUAAACGCCUUUAAGGUAUAGAUACAUCAUAUUUGGGCAAAUUUGAGUCACUUAAUAUGGGACGGAGGGAGUACUAUUUUGGACUAUUUUUAGGAAAAAUACUUUCUUCAGUAUGUAUAUAGCAAUAAGCACAAUCAGAUUUCCAUCCGUCAUCAAACAAUGUCUUUUUUCUUAAAAAAUCAAGCAAUGCUCUUCCCUAACAUGCCUUCUCACAAAAAAAAGGGGAUGUGUUUGGUUUAAGAAAGGUACUCUCUCCGAUUCAUAUUAAUUGUCGAAAUAUUACAUGUAUUUAGACGCUUUUUCGGUAUAGAUACAUCCAUAUUUGGACAAAUUUGAGACAAUUAAUAUGGAUCAGAGGGAAUAACGUAAACGUGAAAUGGAAUUGAAAAAAAUACACUGCUAAAUAAAAAAAUGUUUGGUUCAACUUAUGCAACACAAAAAAAACUAAAUCAUCCACUGAACUUAUUAGCUUGUUGUGCGUUGUUGCCUGCGUGAAUAGUGGUUCGGCCUGAUUUUCCAACUGAUGCGCUCCAGCCUAAGUAACCGUCAGCUGGAACAAUUGUGUUGUUCAUUAAUUGAAAUAUGAAACCUCCAAUAUUGGUGAAUAAAAACUAAAUACCUACACUAGUUCUGGCGGACUUACAUGCCGUCGGGAGGGGGGGGGGGGGCUCCGCCCCUCCACUCCAGAAUUAUUUAGUAUUCUCUGAUCUUGCUUUGCAUUUAUAAUUAGUCAUUACUUUAUGUGUUAUCUUUCACCUACUACAAAUACAUUUCUGACCAUUUCCAUUACCACGAGCUGUUUGGUAAUAUGUAUACACACUUGAAAGGCAUGGUAAAAUAUAGUAACAAACAUAAAUUAAGUAAUCAAACCUUCAAUCGUCGUAAUUUGCAUGAAUGGCAAUGAGGAUGUGGAUGCCAACACAAGUACAACCGACUGCCAAGUACACGACAAAAACCACAAAGGCACCUCCACCUGUAUCAUGAAAAUGCACGAGGUGAGCAUGAGGUCACUAGAGGUCACCAAGACUGAAACCACGCUUUGUGAACUGUAGAUAGGCAAACCCACAUCGACACUUUUACCCGUAUCAUGAAAAUGUAUGAGGUGAGCACAAGGGCAGCAGAGGCCACCGAUGCAACAAUGUCAAAACUAUAAAUCAUCAUAUGCUCUUCCUUGGGCUCGCUGGGACAACAUCCUGUUGGGGAGAAACGAAUAAGUUAAAAUAAAUUCAAUAGACCAUAUUUAUCAGCAAUAAAUGUUUAUUUUCAUACCUGCAAGUUGCCAACGGUGUCGAUCCAAUACUUCACAUAGUUUGCAAAAACCACAGUGCAAAAAAAAUUUAGAUAUCAAGAGGUAAGGCUACAGGAGCGGGAUUCUCACGUAAUACCAGAGUCUGGCAACACAGUGGCUGGCAGGGCAGAAAGAUCUAUGUGAUAGCGGCAUCAAGGUCAUCCUAAGUAAUAGGAGAUACUCGUGUCAAAAAACAAAGUAAUAGGAGAUACACUCCAGCCUGGGUAACCACAGCCAUGCCGCUCCUCCCGCUCGCCCCCGCCCGCCGCCCGUGCGCGCCGCCGCUCGCACCCUCGUGAUCCGCCCGCUCGCGUUGCUCCCGCCGACGAUUGACCGGCGCUGCUCACCCCUGCUCCAGCAGCCCCACAGCUCCGCUCGCUCGCAGCCGCUCGUGCCCCUGCUUGCGGGACUCGCCCCGUGUGCCGCCGCUAGACCAACACAGCCGUCGGCGCCUCUUGAGUGGGCUAGCAAGGCGCCUCGGGGGCGGAAUCAGGGGGCUGACAGGGUGCGCCGGAUGCCUGCGUUCUCGACCUCCAGGACAAUCCACGACCUCCAGGACAUCAACAGGAGGUGUCUGGAGGCGACGGUGCAUAGCAGCGGCCGCGUGCGCGUGCGGAGGCGAAGGCAGCGGCUUGUGCGGGGAGGAGCCGCGACGGCGUGCAGAGGAGACGACUCGGUGAGUCAGAUAGCCCACGAGCUAACUUGGCGCCAGCUAGGACCUGACAUGUGGGCCCGUCUUGUCAGUUUUGGGGUUAUUCACUAGUAACCGGAUGCGUAGUGUAAUCCGGUGGUUUUUUGCAAGCAAAACGCAAACCGGCACCAAUGUGAAACCCUAGCCACUAAUGUGGUGGUUUUUUUUAAUUUACUCAUCCUUGUGCGGUGGGACUCUGUUCCACCUCUGCAGCUGCGACGUGCUCUAAAAAAAUCCUCUGCAGCUGCGACGUCAGGCAGGUUGUUGACAAUUUUAGGUGUUAAGAGCAAGGCCAAUGUGGGGUGAGCCAAGAUCGGAAGCUAGCACCGGGUCUAAGAAAACAAAAUCUUGUGCAAUGUACUAGUUUUGCUAGACACCCCAUGCGGGAGCCACAUACCUCCACUUUUCCCAUCUCUCUCCUUUUUCAACUCGUCUUCUCCAAAAUCCUCCUCUGGGCUUUGGCCUCCGCCCUCCACCUCCAGUCCUUCUCUUCGUCUUCCUCAUCCAAUCCGCCACCUCUGGUUACAAAUUUUUAUCCUGGCCCCAGCCCUCUCUUCCUCCUCCAACUCCGCCACCGGCACCUCAACUCCUCCUCCCACUGCCACCACGAGGCCCAAGUUCCCCUCCUCAUCAAGCAUGCCCACCUUGCCGGCCAACAACACGAGGACCACAGCUGGCGACGCGAGAGGACCAUGGAGGGAUGGCAUUUCUGGCCGGCACGCUGGAGGAUGGCCGCCGUCUGUGGUCGACGCGGCCGAGGACGCUGCUGGUGAGGUGCAGAUCAGCGAGGCGGAGGACGCCGUCAGGGGUGGGAUGGCAUGGGUGGGGUGCCAGUGUGGAGCCCACAAUUGUCAAUGCUCAGUUGGAGUCGACGCAAGUACUUGAGCCGGGUCUAAGAAUUUUUUCUUAGCACUGCUACCUGCAAUGUUUAGACUCGGGUCUAAAUGGAGUUAGCCCCUUCUUAGCUAUGGGUGUUGACCAACAUUGCACAUGCUCUAAGGACAGACCUGCAGGUGCCGCCAAAGAAUAGAACAAGCACCACCACUCGCAACUCCAUUUUCAAGAGGAGGAAAUCUCCGGAAGUAGAUAUGUACAAGCAACGAACUAACCCACCAACACUCGAUUCUGCACAUUGGCAAACAACAUUAUCCUGCCAUAAAUUAAUUCGGUCAGCGGACACCUCACGGCCUGAUGAUCUGAUUAUUCCCCCCAAACAUUGCAACACAACAAGAGGGCUUUAUUCGGAACGGAUGGCAUCCAUGUCAGUCACAACAGAUCAAGUUAUGAUCAUAGGGCAGGUCGGCAGGCAAAGCAGCGAUGGAUUGAUCGGAUACUGUUUUCUGGCAAGCGUUCAUUAAAGAUGGGCGUUGAAAAAUGAUCCGAAUCCGUUACCGCUAGACGUAGCAGCAUAGGUUUGGGCUUUAUGUUGGUAUACGAGUUGAACUCAUUUUUCUUGUCCUACUAGAACUCAUGUUUAUUGUCCGUUAUAUAUACUUCAUGUAGUCGGAUCUAAAGACGGCCUGUCGUUUCGUGUUUGUAAUACUUUAACAUAGUGAAGUUGCGCGUUCGUCCGUGAUUUUUUCCGCGAGUGUUUCAACGUUAAGAUUCGUGUCUCAGAACCACGUUAUUGCGAUUAAAAUUACGAGACACUCUCGGCCAGUCCGUACAGAAAGUUCGUUCCGCCGAGGCCGACGGGACUUUUCCCGUUCCGCUGCACUUCGUCGAACUGAAGGCGCGUCAGCAGUUUUUGUCUUCUAUUCGGUUUCGGGAGGCAGACGCGCGUUUAAUACAGGGAGCAGCAGCAAGCAACCGCGACCGCGCAACGCGAAGCAUCAAACCGGUCCGAAGCAGAAGCCUCAGGCGGCGCAGAGCACGUACAGAAGCAGGCAAAUCGAUCUAGAGGAAAUCGAUCGAGUGCAAUCCUUCGAGGCGUUUUUUUCUCACCUGCUGCUGCUGACCAACAGUUCUUUUGAUCUAAUUUGAUAAGUCCACACACGAAGUCUACCAGGUGCUAUCAAUUCAAGUUUUCUCCGCAAUUUCCAGCUCGUACUACUUUGUGCACACAUUUUAGUCUACCCAAAGUUACCAUGAAGUACGAUCUUCUGCUGCUGGAUCGUGACACAAGGUUUUCCCUAUGGCAAGUCAAGAUGCGGGCGUUAUUGGCGCAAGCUGAUUAUGAUGAUGCACGAGCCACCGUUGUUAGCAAACAAGAUUCUGAUGGUGAUGUUCUCAUUGUCGUUACCGGUGAUUCCAAAAUGAGAGAUGUUUGGGUUCUUGAUACAACAUGUACUUUUCACAUGACUCCACACCGGGAGUGGCUUGCAACGUAUGAAGCGAGGCCAAAUGGUUCUGUGUUUAUGGGCGAUGAUUCGCCGUGCAAGAUUGCAGACAUUGGCACCGUUCAAAUCAAGAUGUUUGAUGGCACUAUUAGAAUUUUAUUGGAUGUUCGCCACAUUUCGAGUUUGAAGAAAAAUCUUAUUUCUUUGAGUACUCUUGAUAAUAAAGGGUACAAGUAUUCAGAUGGAAAUGAAAUCGUUAAGGUCACAAAAGAUUCUCUUAUUGUGAUGAAAGGUGAUAUGAAGGCUGCAAACCUUUACCGCCUUCGAGGUACGACAAUUAUCGGUAAUACUGAUAUGAUUACAAAGCCAGUUUCUGUCAAUAAGUUUGAGCUUUGCUCAGUCUUAAUUGGUAUUACUCACUAGUCCUGUGGAUGUUGACGCGCAAGAUGUUUAUACUCAUUUGUUUGGAGGUGUUUAUUUUCUUCGACUAUGGAAGGGAUUCGGCUCAAUGUGGAGAUUGUUGAAAAGUGAUCCAAAUACGUUACCAACUCUGUUAGACGUAGCAGGAUAGGUUUGGGCUUUGUGUUGGUAUACGAGUUGAACUCGUUUUCCUUAUCCUACUAAGACUCAUGUUUAUUGUCCGUUAUAUAUAUCUCAUGUGUCGUCUCGUACUCGUAAUACUCCAACAUAAUGAAGUUUUAAUCUCUAUUCGCGUAACAAUGGGGUUUCCAUGCAUUUGCUGCCUCCGCUGCGGAGUACUACCUACCUACUAAUAGUGGCUCACAGCCGGAACAGCCUUGGCUAAUUAAUACCGGUUUGUUCAUUUGACUCGUCACCAGCUGCUCGUGUGCCUACCUCCUCCCUUCGUUUGCAGCCGGAUGGGAUCGAUGUGACGGAUGAGGGUGCACUUGUCUGGCUCGCUGUCCGUGCUGCAGUUCGCACAUACGAUGGCUGCUUCUUUGGCCACAUUUAUUACGAGACGAGAGCUUGUGUCGUGGGACUGAUCCCAAUUUUAAUAAAUUCUGGAAAAAUUUAAAGUCCCCACUUCAUGAAGUAGGACGAGGGAAGUGGGAAGAGAAUAGUUCCACCUUGCUAGUUUAGACUGAGUGAGACCAACAUAUAAAGGAUGUUGCUUCUCACCUAUUGAGCAAGUGAAAUCCCCACGCGCGCUCCUCCUCUUCUCGCCUCGUCACGACGCGCGCGCGCCGCGUUUCGUGGAUCGAAUACAAGUUCGUGCUGGGCCGGUGCGGGGCCUCUUAUCUUUCUGUCACGCGCGUGAGUUAUUUUCGAAUCUGUUACGGAAGCGUGCAGAUUUUGUGAAGUCGGUUCAGUUUAUACAUGCGUGACUAUAUAUACAGCCGCCCGUCCCUCCGAUCGGGAAAAACACACAACCGCGUUAGGGUUUCGCCUGUCUCUCGCUUUUGCGCCGUAGUCGUAGUCUACUCCAUCCCGAACGCCGGUGUGCACCAGCGAUCGGGAGAGCAAGUCUCCGGAACCUUUCGCCUUUGCGAUCCUGUACGGGAGAGGGCGAAUAAGGUUUUUGGGAAGCGCUCCGCGUGACUGCUCACUUCCCUGCAACCACGGGUCGUCUGCCUUCUCGAUCCGGCGGGUGAGCGACGCGCCGCCGUCUUCUUCGUCAACAAAUUCGUCAAGCGAACGUAACAGCAACGGCUUCUUCUCCACCACAACAGUACGUACAUUGUGAUUCGAUCUGUUGUUUAGUUAUGAUCUGCGAGUUCACAUUGCUGUUCAUUGGGUUGUUUAAUACUUCUAAUAUUUUCGAGAUGCGUCUGCUAGUUGCUAUUGUCGUCAUGAUCUAUAUUCUGAAAUUAUUCAUUGAAUUGUUAUUCUCAAAAUUGCUUAAUUAUCCAACUAUCCAAAAACCUUAUUGUAGGCAAUUUCCUGAUUUAAUUAUGGGUUUAGCCGAUGCAUUGAAGCCGGAUAAAUUUUCCGGAAUGUACUUCAAGAUAUGGCAAUUAAAGGCCAUGCUAUGGUUGCAGACUCUGAAAAUAUUCUGAGUGACAGACGGACAACCAGAGGGAGAUUUAUCUGAGGAAACUCAGAAAAAUCUCCAGGAUGCCAAUGUUGCCUUUAGAGGAUGCAUUCUGAGUGUUCUUUCUGACCGUCUUUGUGAUGUGUAUAUGCACAUAGAAGACGGGAAGGAGCCGUGGGAUGCACUGAAUGCUAAAUUCGGUGCAACCGAUGCAGGCAGUGAACUGUAUACCAUGGAGUCGUUGAACGACUACAAGAUGGUGGAUAACCGUUAUGUAGUUGAACAGGCACAUGAGAUACAGAUCAUUGUGAGAGAGCUCAAGCUUCUCAAAUGUGAAUUGCCCAACAAGUACGUAGCUGGGUGCAUUAUGGCAAAGUUACCUCCUGCAUGGAGGAGCUUCGCCACAUCUUUGAAACACAAGAGACAUGAGAUAUCAGUUGAACAACUGAUAGUGUCCCUUGAUGUUGAAGAGAAAGCUCGGGCUAAGGACACCAUUGAGAAGGCUGCUGAUAUUCCGUCUAACGCCAAUAUGGUACAGAUGAAUUUUCGCGGCAACAGAAAGAACAAAGCGAAGAAGUCCGCUGUUGUUAACAACAACAAGCCUGCCAGACUACUACCUUCAAGAAGAAAAAGAAAGUAAACAAAUGCGAGAUGAAUUGUUUCACCUGUGGAGAGCUCGGCCACUUUUCCAGAGUCUGUCCUGAUCGUGCAGACCGAAGAGGGAAAAAGGGACAGAAGACUAUCAACGUCGUGACCGCUAGCGACACUGACACGUACGGUAUUUCUACUGUACUUUCAGUGUUUCAAUCUCCAUGUUGGUGGAUUGAUACGGGUGCUAAUGUUCAUGUAUGUUCCGACAUCUCUUUGUUUAUUUCUUACCAGCAUGGAAGGGAUUCAACCGUCUUGAUGGGGAACGGGUUGCAUGCAGUUGUUCGUGGUGUUGGUACGGUCGAUCUGAAGUUUACUUCGGGGAAGAUCGUACGGCUAAGGAACGUGAUGCAUGUCCCCUCCAUGAACAAGAAUCUCGUUAGCGGUUUCCUUUUUAUACAGAGAUGGUUUUAAGGUAGUUUUAGAGUCUAAUAAAAUGGUUGUGUUCAAACAUGGACAAUUUAUUGGUAAAGGCUAUGAGUGCGGAGGCUUGUUCUGUUUUUCCCUUUCUGAUUUUAGUGACAUGCCAAUGAAUCAUAUUUGUGACAGUGUUAAUGAUGAUGCAAGUGUUUGACACUCUCGUUUAUGUCAUGUUAAUUUUGGUUUAAUGUCUCGGCUAUUCACUAUGAGUUUAAUUCUUACUUUCACCAUUGCCAAAGGUUCUAAGUGCUAUAGUUGUGUGCAAUCAAAGCAACCUCGAAAGCCCCACACGGCGGCCGAGGAGAGAAAUCUGGCACCUCUAGAACUCAUACAUUCUGAUCUUUGUGAGAUGAAUGGUGUGUUGACAAAAGGUGGAAAGAGAUAUUUCAUGACGUUAAUUGAUGAUGCUACUAGAUUCUGCUAUUUUUAUUUGUUGCGAACUAAAGAUGAGGCUUUAUACUACUUUAAAAUAUAUAAGGCCGAAGUUGAAAAUCAAUUGGAGAGAAAGAUCAAACGUUUUAGGUCGGAUCUAGUGGCUAGUAUUUUUCCAAUGUAUUUGAUGAUUUUUGUGCGGACCGUGGUAUUACUCAUGAGAGGACACCUCCCUAUUCUCCCCAAUCAAACGGGGUCGGCAAGAGGAAAAACCGCAUGCUGACUAACUUGGUGAAUUCCAUGUUAGACACUGCCGGUUUAUCUAAGGCAUGGUGGGGGGAGGCAGUACUGACUUCAUGUCAUGUCCUGAAUAAAGUUCCAAACAAAAAUAAAGAGAAGAUUCCCUACGAGGAGUGGAUUGGAAGAAAGCCAUCAUUUUCUUACUUGCGCACUUGGGGAUGUUUGGCUAAAGUCAACGUUCCAAUUCGCAAGAAACGCAAGCUCGGACCGAAGACAGUGGAUCGUAUCUUUCUAGGCUAUGCUCAGCGGAGCGUGUGCUAUAGAUUUUUUGUAGUUAAAUCCGAGGUACCUGAUAUGGAAUCUCGUGAUGCAACAUUUUUUUUAGAACAUUUUUCCUAUGAAAGAUAUGCAUAGCAUUGCUAGAGUUUCUUCUGAAAUAUUACCUGAGUCUAGCAUACCUGAAUCUAAUACAUCUGAUAAUGAAUCUGAACAUCCUGAGGAUGAUGUUGAGAAGGAUGACAAUGAAGCUCCUUCCAAGAGUAAGAGACGAAGGAUUGCAAAAUCCUUCGGUAAUGACUUCAUUGUGUACCUUAUGGAGGAUACUUCCAAAACCAUUUCAGAGGCAUAUGCAUCUCCGGAUGCAGAUGACUGGAAAGAAGCUGUCCAGAGCGAGAUGGACUCCAUUCUUUCUAAUGGGACUUGGGAGCUAUUUGAACGACCCCACGGUUGUAAGCCAGUAGGCUGCAAGUGGGUUUUCAAGAAGAAGCUAAUGCCUGACGGUACUAUUGAUAAGUAUAAGGCAUGGCUUGUGGCAAAAGGCUACACUCAGAAAGAAGACGAAGAUUACUUCGACACCUAUUCACCCGUUGCUAGAUUUACUACCAUUUGAGUACUACUAUCCCUGGCUGCCUCCUAUGGUCUUGUCGUUCAUCAAAUGGACGUAAAGACAGCUUUUCUUAAUGGAGAGUUGGAAGAGAAAAUUUACAUGGAACAACCAGAUGGAUUUGUGGUAAAGGGUGAAGAGAGAAAGGUGCACAAGUUACUAAAAUCUUUGCAUGGACUAAAACAAGCACCUAAGCAAUGGCACGAGAAGUUUGACAAAACUUUAACUUCUGCAGGCUUUGUCAUUAAUGAGGCUGAUAGAUGUGUGUACUAUCGCCAUGGUAGGGGCGAAGGUGUUAUUUUGUGUUUGUACGUGGAUGAUAUUCUGAUUUUUGGUACAAACAUAAAAGUGAUAAAUGAGGUCAAGUCGUUUCUGUCAAAUUGCUUUGAUAUGAAAGAUCUGGGAGAGGCUGAUGUUAUUCUUGACAUUAAGCUGGUUAAAGAUGAGAGUGGAAUUACUUUGUUGCAAUCCCACUAUGUUGAGAAAGCUUUGAGUCACUUCGGUUUUACUGACAGCAAACCUUCACCACCAACACCGUAUGACCCCAGCGUGAUACUCAGAAAGAACAAUGGAGAAGGAAAAGAUCAAUUGAGAUACUCUCAAAUAAUCGGUUCCCUUAUGUACUUAGCUAUCGCUACGAGGCCUGCUAUCUCUUUUGCUAUGAGCAAAUUGAGUAGGUUCACGUCAAACCCGGGUAUAGAUCAUUGGCGUGCACUAGAAAGGAUAUUGCGCUAUCUAAAAGGUAUGAUGAGUUAUGGAAUACAUUAUUCAUGGCAUCCAGUUGUGCUUGAGGGAUAUUGUGAUUCGAACUGGAUCUCUGAAGCAGAUGCCACAACCGGAUAUGCCUUCAUACUUGGUGGUGGUGUAGUAUCAUGGAGAUCUUGCAAACAGACCAUAUUGAUGAGGUCAACUAUGGAAGCAUAGCUUGAUGCUUUAGAUACAACCACCUUUGAGGCAGAGUGGUUGAGAGAUGUUUUGAUGAAUUUGCCGGUUGUUGAAAAACCAGUGCCGGCUAUUCUGAUGAACUGUGAUAAUCAAAUGGUUAUUACUAAAGUAAAUAGUUCAAAGGAUAACGCGAAGUCAUCAAAACACAUGAGGAGACGUGUGCAGUCUGUCAGGAAAUUGAAAACUCCGGAGUCAUAACUGUUACAUAUAUUCAAAUAGAGAAAAACCUGGCAGAUCCCUUUACCAAGGGGCUAUCAGGUAAUGUGAUAGAGAGUGCAUCGAGGUAGAUGGGGUUGAGACCCAUGAAUGUUGUGCCAUAGUGGUAACCCAACCUAUGUGAUCAGAGAUCCCGUGAAGUAGGACCUGGGAAAUGAAGCUAUCGGUAUAACAUAGAGGAGUAUGUUAUAACCCUCUAUAUGUGAAGAUGCGCGACUCUCAAAUUGCUGUAAGGCUGGUUAGCGACAUGACUUAAUGUGUUCAUUGCGGAUAUGAGUAGCGAAAGAUACUGUCCUACAGAGUAUUCUUGAAAGAACACACCUAUAUGAGUUCGACUGUCUAACGUAGCAGUCUAUGAGAUUUGGGUGAUCUCUAAUAACUCAUGAAGAGAGACCAUGGAGUAUGACGCAUAUGCUCCACCAGUGGGGUAGACUACUAAUAGCCCAGUACUGGUUGACUUUGAGUGAAAUCUAUUUCACACCAGCUUGCAAUUCAAGAUUUAGUCCAUUGUGAGUAUGGAUGGAUGUAACUUAAAGUUCUAGGCAAAAGUUCAACUUAACAGUCUCUGCUGAAACACUAGUAUAUAAACAAGUAGUGAGAACAGGUAAAUCUCUAAAUGGGUAUUUGAGAUCUGGUGGGGGAUUGUUAGAAUUUGUGUUGUGGGCCUGAUCAGGCCAAGCCCAAUUUUAAUAAAUUCUGAAAAAUCUCAAAGGCCCAUUCAUGAAGUGGGAUGAGGGGAGUGGGAAGGGAAUAGUCCCACAUUGCUAGUUUAGAGUGAGUGAGACCAACAUAUAAGGUAUGUUGGUUCUCACCUAUUGAGCAAGUGAGCAAGAGAAAUUCCCACGCGCGCUCCUCCUCCUCCUCCUCUUCUCGCCUCGUCACGACGCGCGCGCGCGCGCCGCGUUUCAGAUUUUGUGGAGAUGGUUCAGAUUUUCUAAACUGAACCGACCUAUACUUGUGUGACUAUAUAUACAGCCGCCCGUCCCUCUGAUCGAAAAAACACAACCGCGCUAGGGUUUUGCCUGUCUCUCGCUUUUGCGCCGUCGUCGUAGUCUACUCCAUCCCGAGCGCCGACGUGCACCAGCGAUCGGGAGAGCAGGUCUCCGGAACCUUUCGCCUUUGCGAUCCUGUACGGGAGAGGGCGAAUAAGGUUUUUGGGAAGCGCUCCGCGGGAUUGCUCACUUCCCUGCAGUCACGGGUCGUCUGCCUUCUCGAUCCGGCUGGUGCACGACGUGCCGCCGUCUUCUUCGUCAACAAAUUCGUCAAGCGAACGUAACAGCAACGACUUCUUCUCUCCCGCAGCAAUAUGUACAUUGUGAUUCGAUCUGUUGUUUAGUUAUGAUCUGCGAGUUCAUAUUGUUGUUUAUUGGGCUGUUUAAUACUUCUAGUAUUUUGAAGAUGCGUCUGCUAGUUGCUACUGUCGUCAUGAUCUAUAUUCUGAAAUUAUUUUAUUCUCCAAAUUGAUUAAUUAUCCAACAGUUAGUUCGGUGCUGGAAACUGUUCGACGGUCGUGGCAGCAAACUGCGGCGGAUCAGUACUUCUCCUGCGUGUGCCAGUUUAACUCUCCCUGCAAGGAUCGUUUUUAUAGUGUGCGUGUUGUUAGGUACGCCCUGCAAGAAACCGACCUAUACCUGUGUUAGCUAUUCAGCAGAAAGGCAAGCUGACAUGUAUUUUGUAGCUACAUGCCUACACCCAAACUGUGGCAACACGUCGACUCAAUCCUUUGCACGAGAUAAGCUCUUCCAGCAGACCAGCAAGUUGCGAGGCUUCACCGUGGAACAACUUCCUAGUUCCUACCGCAGACUUUCUAUUCCUGCCGCCAUAGCUUUCGCCGGAGAUGCUCCCCGGGCAUCCAAUCCUCCCAGUUCCCCCCCUCUUUCUCGUUCAGUACAUUAUCGAGGAUCCCAACCGCUGACUCCCUUUACGUAUCAUUUUCGUUGCUGUCGGGUUCAUUCCAUCUACUUGCCCAGGCGAGUAGCCUCCGAGAGCCGGCUCCCGUCCCGUCCAUGUCUUGCCGAGACCGCCUACGAGCAAAAACGCGGUGUUUUCUUCCGAUUUGACUCACUUCAGGCCACUUUUGGCACGGGCGAUCCGCAACGCGGUCGGCUUGGACACGACCGAGUCCUUCAAGUUUGAGCGAUUCUCAUUUUGUCACAGUGCCAAGGUAGUGUAUAGCUCAACGUCUCUGACUGAGUACUUGGAAAUUUGGACGAGUUGACAUAAGCACAAAACCCAAUUAAUACUCGUAGUUUACUUUCUUCUUCUGCACAACAAGUCGGCAGGCACAGACGUUCUGUCCCGUGGUCUCGGCAGCUUAUCAUUUCGUUGACUCACGAAGAUGCAAGGUUGACAAUUUUCCUUAGUUUUGUACUGUACUUUUGUUGCUAUCAAUUAAUUUGACGCAUUUGACAUUUUGACCACUAAAUCGAACGCACAACAUGCAUGCAAUGCACAGUACAUGCAAACUGUAUGUUGCUCUUUUUAGUUCCUGCGCCCACAGCUGGCUACUGGUUGGUCGACAGAACAGUAGUCGUUACAAAUUUUCGACUAUGUGUUCUCUCUUCUCUCCAUAUACUAGUCUUUGUUCUCUUUUCUUUCCUAUUGGAUAUACAUUACACUCUCUUCUCAUUCUUGGUACCAGUGGACAGGUCUUUUACUUCUCCAUGCUGCAAGCAAUUACAUGUCACAUCAUCAUAUCUCCUCUCUUCUCCACAUAGUACUAGAAACUGCUUAGUAAGCAUUUAUUGGAGAUAACCUUAGAACGUUAUUUGGGUGUAACUGUGAAGCAACAUGCACAGAUAUCAGCGCGUUCUCGCCAUUGGCAACAACUUGGCCUUACAUGGUCUCAGAGAAAAGAAAACGAGCAGCAAAAUCAUUAAAAAAGUGUAUGAACAUGUCAAAAUAAAUCACACAGGUAAGUGACAAUGUCCUCUAAGUUCCUCUAUAGUUUCAGUGAAAACAGAGUUUCUAAGAAAAAAUGGUACUAAAAAACUAACAUCUAUGAACUAAAUUUUCCUGUUUUUUAGCUAAAAGUGUAAAAUUUAUUUUUUAUACACUAAAUUCCACAAGUACACAUUUUCAGAAUUUGUUGACAUUUUAAAAAAAAAUCAGCCAAGGGCACGCGGUCCUAGUGGGCAUGCGAGUUUCCUGGGGUCUCGUCUAUGUCUGUCAUACCAUUUGUUACACUAGCGGUUAGGGGUGGGCGUAAAAAACCGAAACCGAAUUAGCCGAAACCGAAUUAACCGAUAAUAAUUUCGGUUGCUGAGUGUGAUUAACCGAAUUUAAUUCGGUGAAUUCGGUUAUUAACCUCGGUUAACCGAAUAAACCAAAUUAAUGAUAAAUAGUCGAAAACAUACGUCGUUACGCACCUAUAUCUAUUUUAUUAUAUAUUUUGUAUGAAGUGUUUCUGAACUUUGGUGUACAUUCAAGGCUACGCGACCUUUGGUUAUGUCAAAGUUUCUUUGUUUGAGACUUCAAGCCAUAUAUAUGUUGGAAGUUCUGAUAAAAUUUAUGACUCGAUGUUGUCUAUUUCCCUGUCAGUUCAUAAGUUCGGUUAUAUCGGUUUAAACCGAAACCGAUCCGAAACUUAUGGUUAACCGAAUUCUCGGUUAGCUGAAAAACCGAGCAUAUUUCGGUUGACAUUUCUCGUUAACCGAAUUUCUGAAAAACCGAACCGACUUCUCGGUUAAAACCGAACACCCACCCCUACUAGCAGUUCUACAAUACUACCACGGCCUCUUGAAUAUUAGGGGUUCUAAAAAUCAUGUUACAUUUCCCUAUCUUUGAUUUAUAUUUAUAAAGGUAUAUUAAUUUUUAAUUUUGUACAAUGAUUUUUACAGAUUUUUCACGGAAAAGAUUGUUUUCACUUGAUGCACCGCCUUUCAGAUGGUUUUCACUUCUAAACAUGGUCUUCAGGAAGUUUGCACAUUUUGCAACUUAUAUGUGGUUUCCACAUGAUAUUUUCCCCAUGACUUACAAGUACUUAUCUGGUGAAAACCAUCUUUAUAGUGGGAAGUGGGCGGAAACCAUUAUAAAAAUGAGAAAAACAAAAAAAUUGCGUAUGUUAGGAAAGUGUUGUUUCAGAUGUGUGUAAAAUUAUAAGUCCAAACUCAAUCUCGUUGUAGCAGUGAAGAAACAAAUUCAACACGAAUAGUGGUUCUGCACUAUUUGACAAUAUUCACUUGUAUAUUUCUCUCUUUUAUUCCUUCGGAACGUAAUUGAGUUUUGACUUUAAAUUUUGCGUGUCUGUGGAACAUCACAUCGCAACAUAUGAUUUUUUUUUUGGAAUCUAUUUGAAACUUCUAAACAUGAUUUUUACGAAAUUUGCACUGUAAGGAUAGUUUUCAUCUGAUAUUUUCUCUAUGACUUACAUACAGAAAUUUGAUUUAAAUUUCCACCGUAAGGGUGGUGUGCUAAUUAGGUGGCUAAGAUUUGCAAAAAGAAAUUAAAACAACUGAAAAUUAGCGAAGCUACACGAGUUGAUAAAAUUGAGCCAAGAAUAGAUAAGAAAAUGUAUUGGAGUUUGGUCGGACCCGACCCAAUAAGACCAAAGUAGUUCCCAACGAAAAGGGAAGCUGCACCUUUCUCAUCUCUCAUAGCAUGUUAGUUUUGACCGAGGACAGCUUUACUCGAUUCUUUAUCCGAGUCGAGCCACCGAAGCUAGUACCAAACUCGACCUAAACUCGUAACCAGAAUACCAGAUACACACCACCUAAUCAAGUCCUAAAUAAUUGCGUCCUUCUAGAGGAUUAGGAUGGUAUAUAUGCAACUACAGCUCAGAAAGCUUAAAAAAAGUUAGCUUAUCAGCCGGUGGUUGUUCCGCUUGCCGCAGCUUUGGGUCGGGCACUCUGCUCUUCAAUUCAGGUUCGCGCAGCUUUAGGUGGGGUGGAAUUGAUAAAGCUGGUUCAGGCAGUAUUUACUUGUUGCUCGAACUGAAUGUACGUGCUUCAACUUUGUGAGAAUCAGGAUUAGUUUGUGGUCGUUGAAAGAAAGCAAUGGUGGAAUAAAAAACAGUACGUUGGUAAAGUUUAUUAAAAAAAAAUACUCUUUCCAAUCCCAGCAGGAAUCUAAGCUCAUUUCCACCUAUCAUGCCAAAAAAAGUUAAUCAGAUAAGAAUGGCUCAUCUUAAUUCCACGCGGAACCCCCAGCGAGCUUCAGUGGAAAUUGGAAGCUUCUUGUCUUGCACCGUUUUGAGAAAUUCAGUCAUGGCUUUGAGAAAAAAAAAAGGCGUUUUUUGUUGUUGGAUAGUACUUGUAGUACAAAAGGGGGUUUUCGCUCCAUGGACCAUGAUAUGCUCUUGCCUGCCAGUCAAUGGCCCUCUGUCUUUCCAUCCAUCCAAUCCAGGAGGGUACCAACUUCUACCAAUCUUUAGCUCUUAAAAGACGAGCAUCCAUCCAACCGUAACCGCACCUUGCAGCGACGUCCGCGAUCUGAUUUAAAAUCCUUGGCAGAAGAAGAAAGUAAACCGUAGCUACCUACCAAAACCGCCCACAAGUAUCAUCAGUAUGGCACUAAACACGGGGGCUCCACCGCCGCAACCGCACCGCACAAACCACCACCCAACCCGACCCACCCGACCCACCCGACCCGUCAAACUCACUACAUGCCGCCGAGUCAAUGGGGAGGGAGUACCUAGCACGCGCGCCAUAUAUACCGCUCCGCCGCCUCGGCUCUGCUCUGCUCUGCCCGUGUUCAAGAAGAACAAAACAGAGGAGGAGCUGAGCUGAUCUGCGCUACUACUAGCUAGGUAGAGCCGGAAAAGGGCCAUAUGGGGCGGUCGCCGUGCUGCGAGAAGGAGCACACGAAUAAGGGGGCGUGGACCAAGGAGGAGGACCAGCGGCUGAUCGCGUACAUCAGGGCCCACGGGGAAGGGUGCUGGCGGUCGCUGCCCAAGGCGGCCGGCUUGCUCCGCUGCGGCAAGAGCUGCCGCCUCCGCUGGAUGAACUACCUCAGGCCCGACCUCAAGCGCGGCAACUUCUCCGACCACGAGGACGAGCUCAUCAUCCGCCUUCACGGCCUCCUCGGCAACAAGUAAGCAGUUGCUCACCGGAUCCACAUAAUACAACCGUUGCUCGUCUCUCAACUUGCUGACGAUCGAGGGGAUUAAUUGUUCGAUUCGAUGUUGAACUUGAAGGUGGUCUCUGAUCGCGGGGCAGCUGCCGGGCAGGACGGACAACGAGAUCAAGAACUACUGGAACACGCACAUCAAGCGCAAAUUACUCUCCCGCGGCAUGAACCCGCGGACGCACCGCCCGCUCACGACGCCCACCACGGCGCCGCUGCAGCCCGCGGCGAUGCUCGCCCUCGCGAGGCCGCCGCAGGCCGAGUCUUCCUCCGACGGCGGAAGCAGCGGCACGGGGGAGCCGCCGCGGUGCCCCGACCUCAACCUCGACCUGUCCGUCGGCCCGCCGGCGGCGGACACCGAGUCGACGACGACCUCGCAGGUCUGCCUCUGCUACCACCUCGGCUUCCGCGGCGGCGAGGCGUGCAGCUGCCGCCUGCAUCAGGCCGAUGACGACACCUCAUCGGGGUUUAGAUAUUUCAGGCCCUUGGAACAAGGCCAGUACAUAUGAGACGACGAUGACAUGGCCAAAGACUCUCUCUCUCCCACAGCAAUUUGUAAGACGGGGAAUUUUUUUCCAGUGGAGUAAAAGAAAUCUAAUCUGUUCAUAUAUCGUCUUUUCCCUUCGCCCGAAAUUCAUGUUCCAUUUCUAUUAUUGGUUGGUGCUAUUCGGUUAAAGGAAGGGAUAAUGUGAGUACGUGACAAAGGUUGGUGUGGAGAGGGUAUUAUUGUUUCUGGCAUCCGAUUCUGGCGUUCCUUUCAGUUUUGGUCAUGUGGAUAUUGUGCAAAGACCGUCAUGUGGUGUGUUUUUUGGUUGGUACUGCUAGUCUAUGUUUGCACUCCACGAAUUCUUGGAGCUAUUUCAAAUAGCAGGUAGUUAGGCACUGUGCAGAGGAACUCGUAUGGGCAAACUAUCCUAUAAGGUUCUAUUUCCAGGUUUGGUACCGUUGAAACCGCGUCAUCUCUUUUUUGUUUUCACAGAAGAGUAAGCAAAAUGUCAGUAGGUGAGGGAAUCAUCCGACAUCUUUCAGUGUGAGCAGAUGAGUGGUGAAAGCAGCUGGCAAGGAGGAAGAAGGGGAAGGGGGAGAAGGAAGAAAGAGAAGAAGGAAAACAAGGGAAAGGAUGCAUCCGACCCCAACAACGAUGGUCGCCGGGAGGUUGAUGGCGCUAGCAGGUAAUGAGCUCUUCCCUGAGCUUAAGAGAAAGGCUUCAUCAGGACGCAACGAUGCCCUGGCUUGACGCCCGUCAGAUCGAGGAUGAAGUGUGUGAAGAUGGGGAUGGCAGCGAUGCAGCAUCAAGUUCAAGAGGGGGUGGGGUGUGUGGACGAGAGAGAGAGAGGCCUGUGAGUAAGGAAACAGGGUGCGGACAAUGUGCCCUGGUCUUACUGUGUUUGCAAAUAAACUUCUUUCCGAGAGGUGCAAAUGGAUUUUCUAUAAGAAUUCAAACAAAUCAUUUCAUAGAAUUUAGUGUGCAAGCUAGUAAGAGAUUGUUUUCAAAACAAGUUCACCAAAUCUGAUUUUGUAUGUAGUGGAGGUGAGUGAGAAAUUGAGUAAGCAUUUGUCCUGCGUUUAGUAGGCUGUGAUCGGAUUUAAGGCCAUGCUAUAGGCUAUGGCUCGUCUUUUUUGUUUCACUUUGCUAGGCUCCAAAAUUUGCCAAAUUCUGCAUCUUGUUCAACCACACACACUUGCGUGUUCAAAGUUCUCAAGUCGCACAUUUCUUCUAUUGUGUGCCAAAUAUAUAAGUGUGGUUAUCAAGCCUUGUCCUUUACAUUUCCCGCAAAAGAAAAGGAACAACCCUAGGUGUCGGUUGUUUGACAUUUUCAUCUCAUUCAUCAUCUUCCUUACCAUCCAAUCUAUUUAAAAAGUUAAAUCUCGUCAAUCCAACCGCUACAACGUCAAACUCUUGUAUGUGAUAUUUUCUUGAACUUUUGUAAUAUCCUUACAAUAUCAAUCUAUUAAAAAUGCACAAAAACCUUCCAACGUCGUAGGAGCCAUGCCCAUGCAAAACAUUGUGCCUAUGCAAUCAAUGGCGGAUCCACCAAUAUGGCAAGCUAUGGCUUGAGCCACACCUAAACACAUUUUGCAUAGUAUGUAUGUGUAUUUGUGUAUACAUUAAUCAAUUUAGAUAGUAUUUGUUGAUUCUGCUACACCUGAUUUUUCUUUCUACGUCCGCUACUGUAUGCAAUAAAACCGCAGUUCUUGCAACGACAAAUAAAAUAUAGGCAGCAAGAUUGAUUGCACCAUGAAAACAACCCCUUGUAGCACACUUAGAAUUGUUGCAAGGUACUGCUCAUGUGUGCAGCAAAUGAAAGACAUGUUUGCAGCGUGCUAAAACAACUGAUGCGACAUCUAAAAUAUCUGGAUAAACUGACCUCCCAUCAUCAAUACUGAAGGUGUGGACUAUCGCUGGUUUGAAUUUGAGCCCCAACGGCAGAUGGAAAACUAGUUGAUCGGUCGAUUUGGAUUGUUUCCCAGAAAAACGUUAGCCUUCACAAAUGACAUCCGAAUAUACUCACUUCACGUCAUAAACUGAACAGGAAUGCGAAGGUUCCUUGUGGUGGAACCAGCCCACUCAGGUUCAAGUCUCAGACUUGAUAUGGGUGCUCGCAUUUCACUAGAUUUAUUCCAGAAUUUAACCAGCGUUGUACUUUCAGUGGGAGUGACGUACCCAUCAACUACGAGUCAUCUGUAGUGAUUUCGUCAAUUUCAAGAUGAUCUGUCGGUGGCCCAGUCUCUCGAAGGUGCUCAUAGAGAUAAGGUAUGCGUGCAUAUGUUCAUAGGUGUGAUGUGAGUGAUUGUGUCGAACUGUGUUUUCUAAAAAAAACUGAACAGGAACAGUAAUCCAAGCCACCAAGUGGCCGGGUCAAACGCAAUCGCUUCCUUCCUUCGGUGUAAAAGUGAGCGCACAACUGGUUACGACCAGUCAUACGUGCCGUUAAAACGCUAACCUAGCUAGUAGUACCAUUUACUGUAGCUGUACUAAGGAGGUUGACUGUAAAAUAUCGGCUACAAUUGGUCUGCUGAAGUGCUGCUGCUAAAAUCUCUCUAUAUAAAAAUGAUGUUGCUAUGUUUGCUGGUGCCUCUCGUUUGGCCUAGAAAGGUGACAAAGUGAAGCUUCCAUAGGAUAACUUUUACUUUUAGUACAGUAAAGUACAUUACACACCGUCUCACCGUCUGACUCUUAGCUAGAGCAAAACACCGCCCUACCCCUAAUGAACCACCAUGCUGUCGGCAGAUGACGACUACGUCGUGAAUAUUAUUGCAUCAGAGUCAACUCCAUUUUCUGAGCCAGAACAGGGGUGGAGAAUUUAGGAUGUUCCUAUCCAACUAUGAAACGCGCCCAUUCCAAAUCAUUUGAGGCACUAGCCUGAUAACAACCCUCUCUCGUACAGGAAGAUGUGGGCGACUAUUCACAAAACAUGCAUUGGAUUUAAAGACCCUCAUCAAGCCUCCAAGGUUCGAGUAGUCUCGAUAUAUGUAUACUAGCAAAAGACCCGUGCGUUGAUACGGAACUACGGAAAAUUGUAUCAGAACGUCAAAUCAAAUGUUGAUGUGUUUCAUGUGCACAUAUGUAUAUAACGAUUAUGAUAUGUUUAUUUUCUAGGCUAUACUCUAGUCUCUUUCUCUUUUGCACAUAUCUUAUUUCUUUAUCUCGUGUAAAGAGAAAGCGACACAUGCUCAACUCUUUUGCUCUCUACCUCCAGGUUAUCACUGUUCUCACAUACACCACACUUGAAAAGUCAUGUGUGAGCGUUUUUUUUAACUUUUUUACCGAAUUCAUGAAGUGAUUCUCAAUAUGAUCAUGAAUAAUGAAGAACAUGUAGCCAUGAUAACGUUUAUCACUUCCAUCCGUCCAAACCGCUCAACCUUCCGUGUGGUGAUGAUUUAAACAGCAAGCAUCGGUAUAUCGAUCAAGACAGCAAGCAGCAACAGCCAACAUAUAAAGCAAGCGGCAAUAUAAAUCAGCCUUCUUGCUCUCCUAUUACUCCUACUCCCUACUUUAUUUUUCAAAUCACUUCUUCCAAUUUCUCUCGUUCUCUCUCUGACUAUCCUCUCCAUCCAUCCUGAGUGCAAACUCCUCCUCUCCCCGUCCCGAUUCAUUCCGUCACCGAACAUUGCGCGGCCGCCCGCUUGUGCGCACCGCCUCCGCCCAUAGAUUCCCGCCGCCCGUCCGUUCCCACGUGUCGCCUGCUCCCACUUGCUGCCCGAUACGCCUGUGCGCCCUCUCGCAGUCUUGUCCGCCCGUUCACCGCACCCGCACGCCGCCCACACAUCACGUCCGGCCACUGGUUGCCGCGCGCCACUGCCCGUCGGGAGGGCCACCGAUGGCUCGCGCCGAUGCAGUCCCUGCUGCCUUGCGCGAGGCCACCGCCAUCCCGGUCUCAGGCUCAUCCCAUCGCCGUCCAAGUCCCGCGGGGAGCCAUAGGCACACACGAGCCGGUGGAGGCGGCGGUCGGGGCCCGCGACGGAGCCGCGGGUCCGCAGCCGCCUUCCGCACACGGACGCCGCCGACGCGCACCAUGAGCGGCGGCGGGCGCUGGCGAGAUCCAAAGGGCGGUGGCGAGAUCCGGAUCGGGUGGGGGUGAGAUUCGUAGGAGAGGAGGAGCAAUAAGUGAUCUGUUGUUGUUUUUUUUUUAGGCGGUACGUGUUUUUUCUGCGCUUGAGAACCGCGGGAGCUGGGGUUAAAAGGCACGUGGGGACAGCGGUGGCAAAUUCGUAAUUUUGGUGAAGUGACGUACCGCGACGCCAGUAUCAUCACCACCAACUCCAAAUUAAUAUAUUGGUAUAGAGAGGAUAUUGCGAUGACAGUGAAGUUCGCGUGCACCGUUCCUUCCCUGGCCGUCUUUCCAUUGCCAAGUGCAUGCAUGCCCCCACAAUGUGGUCGUGGAAGGAUCACGACAUGGAGUAUGGUCACAUACUCGCAUGUGCAGGUGCAUGUACUUUCAAUGCUAACUUUUUCUUUGUGUGUGUUUUAUCCCAAAAGGAGAGGGCGUGGACGUAUGUAAGGUCUAAUUCUCCAUGUUCCAAAUGGAGUAUCAUUUCAACGGGUAUAAUGAUAAAAUUAGGAGUACGUCGCCAAAGUAGAAGAUAUUGUGGCCUUGACAAAUCGUGCUAGGAGUCAACUUCGUGGCCUAAUCCAUAAUCAAACCAAAACGUACUUUGUUGUUCUCCCCAAAAGAAAAGUAUUUCGGUUGGGUUACUAGCAGGUUUACGUUGCUUCCGGUUCCUUGGGAUGCCAACAAAAAAAUUAUGAAAUAACUUUAGGACAAGUCUGUUGACCAAGUUCAUUACACCUAUAAAUACAGAAGUAUCGUGUUUUGAACAUGAGAUAACUUUUUUAGUUCUGUGUGUUCUUAGAUUAUAAUCCAUAGUUCACGUUUAGGACGUGAGCCGGUUGGUCGCGGUAGAUGUUUGUGUCGGACUAAUUAAAGUUUUCUUGCGCUGGUCUUUACCUAAGGCUGAUCAUAUGUGACGUACUGUUUACACACAAGUUCACUUACUGAAUUGACCAAUCGGUUAUUGUAUCGUGCGACCAAGUUAGUAUGUAGAAUUUAUGAGAUAAUUCGAUUGACAUUCGGUUUAAUGUUUAGAUGGCGAUCUAAUGUUUUCUGUACUUUGUAGGGAUGUAAGUUUGUAAUGAAAGUAAAAAACUAGAGGUCAUGUGUUGGUAUGUCGAGCUAUAAUUCUUCACGUAUCCAUUGAUAACUCACUCUAGUAAAUUUAGAGAAUAUAGAUUAUGACAAAUGAAACUGAGCUUAGUACAUAAUAUUCCGAUGACUUGUGAACAAAAUUAUAAUUGAAGGAUUGUAAUAUAUUGUUCGUGUAACGUUCACGAUAAAAAUAAUAUUGGCUUACCAUUAAACUUUUAGGGGCACGUGCUACAGGUGACUAUUACUCACUCCUUUCCGCUAUAUAGUGCUCAUCUCCAAAUACUAAAAUCAGGCCUUCUGUCCUCCCACAAACUCCCAUCUCAAACCACCGGUGCAUGUUUUGAUGACUUUUUAGCCAGCCAAUGCAUAAAGAAGAGGAGUGGUUAAUACAUAGAUUGAAUGCUUGGUAUAACACUUUGUUAGACUUCUCCUUUGUACUCAAAGAUAUUAAAGUUUGUCUUAAGUUAAAGAUAUUAAAAAAUUUCUGAUUUUUUUGGAAAAUGUAACAAGAGUUAUGACACUAAAUCAGUAUCAUUAGAUUAGUUUUGAAAUGUAGUUUCAUAAUAUACUAAUUUGAUGUCAUAUGUGUUGAUAUUCUUUUCAACAAAUCUGCCAAACUUAGAAAAGUUUGACUUAGGACAAAAUCUAGAAAGAGUAAAAUACAUCACUAGUCCAUGAACUCGGCAAAAAUAAACACUUUAGUCCACGAACUCAAAAAACGCACACUUGAACCCCUAAACUGGGACUACUGUGUCACUUUAGUUCAAAAACGGUCCGGCAAGGCUUAAACACGCCACGUGGCUGCCAUGUCGGCUUCGACGACCCCUUCACCGGCGUCUUCUCAUCAAAAUUGAGCGUUGUGUACUUGAUAGCAACCUUAGGCGAGACGGCGACGGCAACGACGUGGUUCUCAGGGCCCCAGGAUCCCUGUCUGGGCGCGGUCGCCUUGCCCCUAGCGGGCGGCUCGGGCAUGGUGAUUUUGCCAAAAAAAACCUAAGAAAACCGGGUAGCAGCCCGCGGUCCUAGCCGAGGCCGGCGUGGCGUGUUUAAGCCUCGCUGAACUGAUUUUGGAAUAAAGUGACACAGUAGUCCCAGUUUAAGCGCUUAAGUGUGCGUUUUCCGAGUUUGUGGACAAAAGUGUUCAUUUUUGCCGAGUUCAUGCACUGGUGGUGUAUUUUACUCUAUAUUUUGGAUAAAUACAAAUUGUGAUGCAUCCCCUUGUUACCUUUUAUGGCGCUUUUAAUAUAGGGAAUCUAACCAGUAGCAGGCCGCUAGCAAGGCACCGGGCCAACGUUCCGUUCCAUUUCAUGUCGAUUCUCAAACGCACACACAUAAUAUAGGUUGGAUCAAUCGCGUACGCAUUAUUUAUUCGUCCUUGGGUUAGCUGAGAACAAUAACUCCAAUUCAUGAUGUCGAAGUGGAAGGAAGGAAUCUGGACGGAACGGCCGGUAUGAAUCUGAAGGGUGAAGGCGGUAGCCAGAGGUUGGUACACUACUACAAAAACAGCUAUCAGUAACGGUCAAAAAAGUAUAACAGUAACGGGCAGGCCGCCCGCCACUAACCUCCUGCCAGUAAUGUGGUGUUCAUCAGUGACGGUCCCACACAAACGCCCGCCACUGAUGCAUUUUGGCAAAAUUAACAAAACGACCGGCCCAGGGGCCGGCGGGUGCUGGCGGCGCCCCAAACCCAUCCUCGGAGACCGGAGGCGGCCGUGACCAGAGGCGAAGCCCGCGCGUGGUCCUCCUGGCCGGGAUGGUCACGACGUCGUCCCCCACCAACCCCUUCACCUGCAGAAUGUUUUCCCCAUCACCGUCAGUCAGAUGCAGGUGAGAGAGAGAGAGAGGACAAGAGACGGACCAGGCAGGGCUAAUGGCUGGCCUUCAUCGUGGCGGUGGCGGCGCCCGGAAUCGGCGGGGACGAGCCGGGGCGUGCGACGGGAUUAGGAGGAGGCGGAGCCGGGGCGGCCGUCCAUGGCGGCGGCGGUGGCCGGUAAGCCGUGGCGGUGUCGGGGUUGAGGGAGGCCGCGGGGCCGACAGAGGAUGAGCUCGGGGGAGAUGGAGUUGGAGGGGGGGCUUGGGCGCAGGGGAGAUGAAGUUGGAGGAUGGGCCUUCGUGUGGGAGAGAAGAAGGGAGCAAAGGGAGUUCGUGGGAGAGAAGAAUAGGGGAGCACAGAGAGUUCGUGGGAGAGAAGAAGGGUGGUUGCAGGGCUGAGGGAGAAUGGAGAGAAGAGGUGGGGUACUUUAUACCAACCCCUUAACUCUAAAAUAUGCUAGGCCGGCACAGGUAUCCAGGGGCCAUCAGUGGCGGGCACAAAUGUUGUGCCCGCCACUGUUGUUUGUAUCAGUGAAUUUUGCACGUUUUUACAUUGGACCAUUACUGACGGACUCCCGUGCCCGUUAGUGAUGAUGGAUCAUCAGUGACGGUCCUUGCUCACCCGUACUGAUGAGAUGUCAUCAGUGAUGGGCGUGACACGCCCGUCAAUGAUAAAGGGUCAUCAGUGGCGGGUCUUUCCCGCCCAUGACCCGUCACAUAUGUUGUGUUUUGUAGCAGUGGUAGCUAACCGGUUUGUACCUACUCCGUAACCGAAACGGACACCCGUCUGCCACUUCACUAGCUCGAAAACAAACGUGAUCCCCGUGCUUUCGUGCGCUCGAUGGAUGUACAGGCUGACGAGACCAAUAUUGUUUCAGGUCAUCGCUUCCGUGAGUAGGCGCCACGUCGGCUGAGCUGCAACGGAAAACGCUCGUCAGAAAGGCAGUUAGGCGGCUCUCUUUCCUUCGGUGGAUAUACCAUCUGACUGAACUCCAUCACACAAAAGGCUCAACGAAAAGGUGGUUAGGCAACUCCCAAUCGGGCGUCUCCAUUAAUUCGAUCUCAACGCAUAUCUUUCAUCCGGAUAUCGGAGCCCACAAAAAGGCAUCUAGAAGGAUUCUUAUCGUGUCAUUUUUUGCAGGGUUAAGUAAGUUGGGUGGGUGCAACGGUGAAGGAAAGAACGAGGCGAGUGCUCUACUUCUGUAACACAAUAAUUAGAGAGGCCCAUUUUGUUUGGCCUGGAUAUCCAUCCUCUCUCACCUACCUAGCUAUCCUACAUUUAUCCAGACGAGCGCCUGAAAGAAGCACGGCCAAUCGGCCAUUGCUGCAUCCAUAUCUCUCAGAGCAUGUGACCACACUUGAGUCUUGACCACCUUCGGCGAAGAUGCAAACAUUAUUUAUUUCCAACUAGAAUUGUGAACUGGUUAUGGCAAGCAGAGCAGAAUGUUGGCUGGAUAGAUGUAAAGGGGUUAGGUGCAACCAGAAUUCUGGUAGAGAUGUCCUUGGUGGUGGACACAAAGGCUGGAGCCAAGCGAACCUGCAGAUAUAUCUCAAUCGAUCUUUCCGUAUCCAUGCAUCCCGUGGGAAUGGCGUGAAUCGCUCUGCCAAACAACCCAAAUGGAGAGGUGUUAUUCCUCGAGGGGCAAUUAUAUAUGGCUGGUAGUACCCAAGGCCCGCAAGUGUGCUGGAUUGAACAAACGAUGAUCGAUCUGUUAAAACAUUAUGGCCAACAAGUUUGUUGAACUCAAAGACAAAAGUAGUAUACUAGGCUACUAGCAACGUAAUCAUGGCUUUGUUUUGUUGCAUUGACUUGCUGCGCUUAAUUAGAUUAUGCUGUAACGGAAUGGUGCAUGAUGCAGAGACGAUGCUAUGUCUAACGUUCGCAAGACAUGUUUGAGACAGUUGCGAGAGCAAAAAGCGAUGCGUGUGAGAUCAUGUCAGGGCAAAGACGAGCAGCAUCGAAUCGAACGGCGAAGUCACCAUGCAUUUUCACCCCAGUUAUUAAUCAGUUGAGGUCGCGUAACAUUCCUGCCCGCACAAGCCGCGCGCACUCGCGCUUGCAGGUCAGGUAGUCAGCUGUCCGGAUGGCAAUUGGUAUCCGAAAUCCGAUUACCCGACGGGUCUAGAUCCGAUUAGACGCGGGUCUGAGGAAAAAAUAAAACCAACGGGUUUGUAAAUGGGAAAAUCUCGGACCCGUCGGGUCUGACAGGUUCGGGUCUGGUAGUACCCUACCCGAACCUGGAAAUCCGGUUCGGAAUACAGGCCCAAUACAAUGAGUUAAUAAAAGUCGCCCAACCCAAUGCACAAUCUGGCCCAAUCCACCAAAAAACCCUAACUGGCUGACUCCCAUCCGGAUUCCCGAUCCAGCCUCGGUCCUCCUCCCCCCCCCCCCCCCCCAUCGUUUCUUCUCUCUCGCGCCGGCGGUAGUCUCCACCCGACCACCCCUCCACUCUCCCACCGUCGUGAUCUGCUAUUUUGCUUCACGAUCCUCUUCUCCGUGAGAUGGUUCAGCCCGACAACUCUAGACAUGUAUCUCCCCGUGAGAUGGUUCACGUCGAGGACGCACGUGACCAUAGACCAACGCGCCCCGAACAGCGGCGGCGGGUCGAUCCGGAAGCAGUUCGACUAGCUGCCAUCGUCCUCGUAGUUCUCCAGCACCUAGAGGACC